UGCCCGGUCGGCUAAUGGUAGGCCAGAUGGCUCUGAACCAUCUAAUCCACGUUCGAAUCGUGGCUGGGCAG
rnacentral:tRNA from 1 species